rnacentral:rRNA from 1 species
AACGAACGCUGGCGGCAUGCCUAACACAUGCAAGUCGAACGAGACCUUCGGGUCUAGUGGCGCACGGGUGCGUAACGCGUGGGAAUCUGCCCUUGGGUUCGGAAUAACAGUUGGAAACGACUGCUAAUACCGGAUGAUGACGUAAGUCCAAAGAUUUAUCGCCCAAGGAUGAGCCCGCGUAGGAUUAGCUAGUUGGUGAGGUAAAGGCUCACCAAGGCGACGAUCCUUAGCUGGUCUGAGAGGAUGAUCAGCCACACUGGGACUGAGACACGGCCCAGACUCCUACGGGAGGCAGCAGUGGGGAAUAUUGGACAAUGGGCGAAAGCCUGAUCCAGCAAUGCCGCGUAAGUGAUGAAGGCCUUAGGGUUGUAAAGCUCUUUUACCCGGGAUGAUAAUGACAGUACCGGGAGAAUAAGCUCCGGCUAACUCCGUG